GACGAACGCUGGCGGCGUGCCUAAUACAUGCAAGUCGAGCGGAACUGGGGGAGCUUGCUCCUUCCAGUUUAGCGGCGGACGGGUGAGUAACACGUGGGCAACCUGCCCUGCAGAUCGGGAUAACUCCGGGAAACCGGUGCUAAUACCGAAUAGUUUGGCGCCUCUCCUGAGGCGCUACGGAAAGCCGGUUUCGGCUGCCACUGCAGGAUGGGCCCGCGGCGCAUUAGCUAGUUGGUGGGGUAACGGCCCACCAAGGCGACGAUGCGUAGCCGACCUGAGAGGGUGACCGGCCACACUGGGACUGAGACACGGCCCAGACUCCUACGGGAGGCAGCAGUAGGGAAUCUUCCGCAAUGGACGCAAGUCUGACGGAGCAACGCCGCGUGAGUGACGAAGGUUUUCGGAUCGUAAAACUCUGUUGUGAGGGAAGAACACGUACCAACUAACUAUUGGUACCUUGACGGUACCUCGCCAGAAAGCCACGGCUAACUACGUGCCAGCAGCCGCCGUAA
rnacentral:rRNA from 1 species